rnacentral:rRNA from 1 species
CGUAGGUGACCUGCGGAGGAUCAUUACCUAGAGUUUGUAGACUUCGGUCUGCUACCUCUUACCCAUGUCUUUUGAGUACCUUCGUUUCCUCGGCGGGUCCGCCCGCCGAUUGGACAACAUUCAAACCCUUUGCAGUUGCAAUCAGCGUCUGAAAAAACAUAAUAGUUACAACUUUCAACAACGGAUCUCUUGGUUCUGGCAUCGAUGAAGAACGCAGCGAAAUGCGAUAAGUAGUGUGAAUUGCAGAAUUCAGUGAAUCAUCGAAUCUUUGAACGCACAUUGCGCCCCUUGGUAUUCCAUGGGGCAUGCCUGUUCGAGCGUCAUUUGUACCUUCAAGCUCUGCUUGGUGUUGGGUGUUUGUCUCGCCUCUGCGUGUAGACUCGCCUUAAAACAAUUGGCAGCCGGCGUAUUGAUUUCGGAGCGCAGUACAUCUCGCGCUUUGCACUCAUAACGACGACGUCCAAAAGUACAUUUUUACACUCUUGACCUCGGAUCAGGUAGGGAUACCCGCUGAACUUAAGCAUAUCAAUAAGCGGAGGA